UACAGAGGUCUCAAGCGUUGUCCGGAUUUACUGGGCGUAAAGAGCGCGCAGGCGGUCGUUCAAGUCGAGUGUGAAAGCCCCCGGCUCAACUGGGGAGGGUCAUUCGAUACUGAUCGACUUGAAGGCAGGAGAGGGAAGUGGAAUUCCCGGUGUAGUGGUGAAAUGCGUAGAUAUCGGGAGGAACACCAGUGGCGAAGGCGACUUCCUGGCCUGUUCUUGACGCUGAGGCGCGAAAGCUAGGUGAGCAAACGGG
rnacentral:rRNA from 1 species